rnacentral:piRNA from 1 species
UCCUUCAACAAUCGAAAUAAA